AUCCAGUCGGUCGUUCAGACAGCUGAGGUGGCAAUCGAGCAUAAAAGGAGCUGUUGGCAACCUUGCUGCCAGCGCGCAUCUUUCAUCAACCUUGCGCCACUUCUACAGAGACAGAUACGACCAGACACAGGUGACGAACUGACAGUUCUGAUGACAGGUAUGGAUGUUGAACAGUGAGACGAAGAACAGAUCGACAACUAAAAAAAGACGAUAAACAUAUUUACGAAGUGCACGCUGUUAGACAGCUCAAAUUACAUAUAGAUUAGAUGAAACUAUCAAUAUUACUUAAAAUUAGAUUAACUUCUUAGUAAGGUACUUGCUGUAAAGCUGUAUCGCUAGUUCUAUUCUUAACCUUAAAUUCAUGCCCUAAAAUUGUAAAAUCACGGUAAGCAAAAAUUGAAUUCCUUCUAAAUCAAAAUCUAAAACUUAUCAUAAAAUUAUUAGAAUUCGACCAACGACAACACUGAACACAGACGAAGCUACGUAAGGGACUAAACGUAAGUCUUAAACUAUAUACUAUAUACAUAUGUACAGGCAACGAUUUACAUGAAAUUUGUACAAUUCUAAAUCUGUGCGCAACGCCCAAACUAAAACCAUGUACUUGAAACCUUUUUCAAUAGGAGAAUUAUAAUCGUCCGCUGAAUUACGCCCA
rnacentral:lncRNA from 1 species